AUAUCGCGAGGUGCCAGCCGCCGCGGUAAUACGGAGGAUCCAAGCGUUAUCCGGAUUUAUUGGGUUUAAAGGGUGCGUAGGCGGCCUGUUAAGUCAGGGGUGAAAGACGGUAGCUCAACUAUCGCAGUGCCCUUGAUACUGAUGGGCUUGAAUGGACUAGAGGUAGGCGGAAUGUGACAAGUAGCGGUGAAAUGCAUAGAUAUGUCACAGAACACCGAUUGCGAAGGCAGCUUACUAUGGUCUUAUUGACGCUGAGGCACGAAAGCGUGGGGAUCAAACAGGAUUAGAUACCCUGGUAGUCCACGCCCUAAACGAUGAAUACUCGCUGUUGGCGAUACACAGUCAGCGGCUAAGCGAAAGCGUU
rnacentral:rRNA from 1 species